rnacentral:rRNA from 1 species
ACAUCCAGAGAAUUUAGCAGAGAUGCUUAGUGCCUUCGGGAACUCUGAGACAGGUGCUGCAUGGCUGUCGUCAGCUCGUGUUGUGAAAUGUUGGGUUAAGUCCCGCAACGAGCGCAACCCUUUAUCCUUUGUUGCCAGCACGUAAUGGUGGGAACUCAAAGGAGACUGCCGGUGAUAAACCGGAGGAAGGUGGGGAUGACGUCAAGUCAUCAUGGCCCUUACGAGUAGGGCUACACACGUGCUACAAUGGCGCAUACAAAGAGAAGCGACCUCGCGAGAGCAAGCGGACCUCAUAAAGUGCGUCGUAGUCCGGAUUGGAGUCUGCAACUCGACUCCAUGAAGUCGGAAUCGCUAGUAAUCGUAAAUCAGAAUGUUACGGUGAAUACGUUCCCGGGCCUUGUACACACCGCCCGUCACACCAUGGGAGUGGGUUGCAAAAGAAGUAGAUAGCUUAACCUUCGGGAGGGCGUUUACCACUUUGUGAUUCAUGACUGGGGUGAAGUCGUAACAAGGUAGGCGUAGUGCU